GAUGUAGUUGUCCAGGAUGCCAAAGAAAGCUCAAGUAUGAAGCUUAAAGAACCUAUGAAACAAGGCAGGGAGCAGGAAGCCCUGCCUAGGUAUCUCUCCCAGAAAACCCGCUUGCUCAAGAAAAAGAGAGAAUGUCUCUCUGAUCUGGAUUCUGCAGAUUUGUUGGUAAUAGAAUAUAAUGAUAUUGAUGAUGACAAAGAUUUGGAUGAAGUUGAAUAUAUUUUUGAAGCUGAUGAAAAGACGGAUAAUAGGCACGAGAGAAGGAGGGCAGAAAAGAGAUUCAUCUGCUUGGAAAAGUUGGAAAGAAGGAAACGGACCUAGGAAUGGAACAAAAAAAGGUGAAUGAUUUGGGGAAUUGUUUAUGAACACAAGAAAAGGAAGGAGUGAACAGUCUAUAAUCUGCUUCCUUUAUAUUUGUAAGAAGCAUCUUUUCUCUUCCCCUUUCCCCUUCCCCUUUGGCUAGCAUCUAAACUCCUGUACCCCUAAAGACUAUUCUCUUGGAGUAUGUAGGUUUAACUGUGGUACACUCUAAAUUACCUCAUUUUGGAGUGAGGUCCUAGUGGCCCUGGGCAAGUUGUGGCUCUGUAAUCUAGGCAUGCAGCAGUCAGCAAGCUUCUUAAGUGUAUUUGAGUGACUUUCUGUCAUACCAUCCUAGAAAGUAUGUAGUAGGAAUAGGGAAUAAGUGUCUCUGCCCUCUGAGUCCCCAGUUCUGUUGAGCAAUAUAAUUGAGUGAUACAUUCAUCACAUGCAGGGAUAUUAGCAUGGUUCAGAGUUGAAAAAGAAGACAGGGGGAGGUGGGUGAGACGUGAAAGAUGAGUUAAGUUCAGAAAGAAUAGGGUAAGUUUGGAAGACAUGGGAGACAAAGAAGAGCCUGAGCAUAGAUUUUUGGAAAAGGGCAUCACUAUAGAGUGUGGUGGUAACAGUCUUGCAUUUGGGUUAGUAGGGUGCAGUCAAAUGAAGGAGGCUCUUGAACGCUGAGAGAAAGUGAAGAUUUUAUCCUAUAGGCAAUAG
rnacentral:lncRNA from 1 species